CCCCAAAUCCUGGCAGCGAUCACCUCCCAGGUCUGUAAGAAGUUAUAGGUGAAAGAUUCCCGAAGGGAGACCCUUACUCAAGUCUCAGGAAAUCGCAGACCCCAGACACAGAGACCA
rnacentral:pre_miRNA from 14 species